UUAAAGUAGUAAGGGCGCAGGGUGGAUGCCUUGGCACUAAGAGCCGAUGAAAGACGUGAUAAGCUGCGAAAAGCUUCGGGGAGGAGCACAUAUCCAAUGAUCCGGAGAUAUCUGAAUGGGGAAACCCGGCAGAGGAAACCUCUGUCAGCGUGCAGUGAAUACAUAGCUGUACGUGGGGAACCCGGGGAACUGAAACAUCUAAGUACCCGGAGGAAGAGAAAGAAAAUUUAUCGAUUUCCAAAGUAGCGGCGAGCGAAAUGGAAAGAGCCCAAACCGUGAUGCGUGCAUCGCGGGGUUCGGACUGCGUUGUGGCAGACGUAAGAUAGGAGAACGGACUGGGAAGUCCGGCCGGAGAGAGUGAAAGCCUCGUAUCCGAAAUCCCAAGUCGCCUAGCAGGAUCCAGAGUAGGACGAGACACGAGAAACCUUGUCUGAACGAGCGGGGACCACCCCGUAAGGCUAAAUACUUCUUAGUGACCGAUAGCGCAUAGUACUGUGAAGGAAAGGUGAAAAGUACCCCGGGAGGGGAGUGAAAGAGAACCUGAAACCCUGUGUCUACAAGCUGUGGGACCUCUUUAUAUGAGGGACUGCGUACUUUUUGUAGAACGGUCCGGCGAGUUGUGCGUACUGGCGAGGUUAAGGACUUAAGGUCUGGAGCCGAAGUGAAAGCAAGCGUUAAUAGCGCGUCAAGUCAGUGAGUGCAGACCCGAAACCGGGUGACCUAUCCAUGUCCAGGUUGAAGCUUCCGUAAGAGGAAGUGGAGGACCGAACCCACAUCCGUUGAAAAGGGUGGGGAUGAGGUGUGGAUAGCGGAGAAAUUCCAAUCGAACCCGGAGAUAGCUGGUUCUCCUCGAAAUAGCUUUAGGGCUAGCCUCAUGAGAGUCUUAUGGAGGUAGAGCACUGAAUUGCCUAGGGGGCGUCAAAGCUUACCAAAGCAUAUCAAACUCCGAAUGCCAUCAAGAUGAUUCAUGGGAGUCAGACCAUACGAGAUAAGUUGGAUGGUCAAAAGGGAAAGAGCCCAGACCUACAGCUAAGGUCCCAAAGUACGUGUUAAGUGGAAAAGGAUGUGGGGAUUCUAAGACAACUAGGACGUUGGCUUAGAAGCAGCCAUUCAUUGAAAGAGUGCGUAAUAGCUCACUAGUCGAGAGUCCCUGCGCCGAAAAUGUCCGGGGCUGAAACACGACACCGAAGCUUAGGAAUGUGUAAACAUUGGUAGAGGAGCAUUGCUGGCGGGAUGAAGCCAUACCGUAAGGAGUGGUGGACUGCUAGGAAGAGAGAAUGCCGGAAUGAGUAGCGAGAUGAAGGUGAGAAUCCUUCAGGCCGAAUAUCUAAGGUUUCCAGAGUAAAGCUGAUCUGCUCUGGGUAAGUCGGGACCUAAGGCGAGGUCGAAAGACGUAGUCGAUGGAUAACAGGUUGAAAUUCCUGUACCGCAUAUAAACAGAACUGUGGGGACACAGACAGGGAAUGGAAUCCGGGAAUGGAUAUCCCGGUGCAAGCGAGGUAGGAGUGCUGUUGGCAAAUCCGCAGCACGAUCUGAAGACGUGACGCGUACCGAACAUAAGUAGGGAAGUCCAGGCCCCUGGCUGUCAAGAAAAGCCGCUAUUGUUUUAUAUGUGCCCGUACCGCAAACCGACACAGGUGGAUGAGGAGAGAAUCCUAAGGCCGACGGGAGAAGUAUUGUUAAGGAACUCGGCAAAAUGACUCCGUAACUUCGGGAGAAGGAGUGCCAUGAGAGUGGCCGCAGAGAAAUGGCCCAAGCAACUGUUUAGCAAAAACACAGGUCUAUGCAAAACCGCAAGGUGAAGUAUAUGGGCUGACGCCUGCCCGGUGCUGGAAGGUUAAGGGGAGAGGUUAGCGCAAGCGAAGCUUUGAACUUAAGCCCCAGUAAACGGCGGCCGUAACUAUAACGGUCCUAAGGUAGCGAAAUUCCUUGUCGGGUAAGUUCCGACCCGCACGAAAGGCGUAAUGAUUUGAGCGCUGUCUCGACAAUGCAUCCGGUGAAAUUGAAGUACCAGUGAAGAUGCUGGUUACCUGCGCCAGGACGGAAAGACCCCAUGGAGCUUUACUCCAGUUUGAUACUGGGAUUCGGCAUGGUAUGUACAGGAUAGGUGGGAGACUGAGAAGGUAUGACGUCAGUUGUACCGGAGUCGCUGUUGGGAUACCACCCUUACCAUGUUGGAUUUCUAACCUGUGGCCGUAAGCCGGUCAGGGGACAAUGUCAGGCGGGGAGUUUGACUGGGGCGGUCGCCUCCGAAAGGGUAUCGGAGGCGCUCAAAGGU
rnacentral:rRNA from 1 species